rnacentral:rRNA from 1 species
AGAGUUUGAUCAUGGCUCAGGACGAACGCUGGCGGCGUGCCUAACACAUGCAAGUCAGGGAGAAAAAGGUAGCAAUAUCUUGAGUAAACCGGCGAACGGGUGAGUAUAACGUAGACAACCUUCCUCGUGAACGGGGAUAACUCCGGGAAACCGGAGCUAAUACCCGAUGACAUCCAGGAGGAGCAUUUCUUCUGGAUCAAAGGCCCGAAAGGGCGUCACGAGAUGGGUCUGCGCCCCAUUAGAUAGUUGGCGGGGUAAUAGCCCACCAAGUCUACGAUGGGUAGCUGGUCUGAGAGGACGACCAGCCACACUGGAACUGAGACACGGUCCAGACUUCUACGGAAGGCAGCAGUGAGGAAUAUUGCUCAAUGGGCGAAAGCCUGAAGCAGCGACGCCGCGUGAAGGAUGAAAUCCGUUAGGAUGUAAACUUCUUUUAUAGGGGAAGAACGACCCGGUUUCCGGGUGUGACUGUACCUUAUGAAUAAGCACCGGCCAACUACGUGCCAGCAGCCGCGGUAAUACGUAGGGUGCGAGCGUUGUCCGGAAUUACUGGGUGUAAAGGGUCCGUAGGCGGGCCGGCAAGUCGGUGGUGAAAGUUCGCGGCUCAACCGCGAAAUUGCCAUCGAUACUGCUGGUCUUGAAUCCGAGAGAGGAUGAUGGAAUUCAUGGUGUAGCAGUGAAAUGCGUAGAGAUCAUGAAGAACACCAGUAGCGAAGGC